rnacentral:lncRNA from 1 species
GGCGCGGAGCCCCGAGGGCUCGGAGCUGCCCCGGCCCCGUUCGCCCCCCGGGGGGGCGGCCCCGGCGGACCCCAUCCUGGAGCUGCUGCGCGCCGCUCGCCGCUCCCGGGCCGCCACCGAGCGCCGCUGCCGGCUCCUGCGGGCGGUGCUGGCGCUGCGGCGGGGGGCGGCGGGGGACGGACGGGUGGGACCCCCCCGGGCGGGACCCCCCCGGCAGCCGGGAGAGAGCCGGGAGCCCCCCAGGGAACCCCUCCGGGAGCACCCCCGGACCUCCGUGAAGGUGCGUGUCCGGCUGGAGAUCCUCGGUGCCGGUCCCGGGGGGUGGCGGUGGUGCCUGGACACGGACACGGACACGGACACGGACACGGACACGGACACGGCCCGGAGCCUCCUGCUGCAGCCGGCCGGGAGCAUCCCAAAGGAGCCGGAGCGGAGCAGCCCCCGCAGGAGCAGCCCCCUGGGGCCGUGCUGGGAGCCCACAGGCGGGGUCCGGCCCCGAGUGGCCGUGGGGCUGUGCCGGGCCGGGCAGUGCCUGCAGGAGACCUGCGCCAGGCUGUGGCUGUGGCUGGGGACCCGCUGGAGGCAGCGCUGCCGCUCGCUGCCCUUGUGGGAGCGUUGGUCCCGCAGGGUCGGUGGGCUCCUCUGGCCCCGAGCAGGGGGCCAAGCCCCAGGACAGCCCCCUGGUGCUCCUUCGGGCUCAGCCCAUUAAAGGGUGCAGCCUUCACGGGGUGCAGCUCUUCAUUUCCCCAUCCUGAGGUCAAACACAGCGGGGAUGGGGCUGGCACUGGCCACAUGAGGUGGUCACCAAACGCGCUGGUAUCUCACAGGGCUGUGCUGGCCCCCAGAGGGACGUGGCCAGGCUGGGAAAGGGGCUGCGGGAGCCUGGGGGGGCUCAUGCAUGAGCACGACCCACAUCAAGUCUCAGUUUGUGCUCUGGAUUCGUCUUCAGCCGUGUUUCUCCCCGCAUGCUGCACGCACACCCUGCACCAGCAGCACGCUGGUGGCCCUGGGAACCGGCACUGGUGCCCCCAGUCACCUGCACCUGGCUGUGCUCUGUCCCCUCUUUCUCCAGGCUGA